rnacentral:misc_RNA from 1 species
GAUGAAGAACGUAGCGAAAUGCGAUAAGUAAUGUGAAUUGCAGAAUUCAGUGAAUCAUCGAAUCUUUGAACGCACCUUGCGCUCCUUGGUAUUCCGAGGAGCAUGCCUGUUUGAGUGUCAUUAAAUUCUCAACCUCAUCAGUUUUGUUAUGAAGCUGUGUGAGGCUUGGAUGUGGGGGUUUGUGCAGGCUGCCUCAGUGCGGUCUGCUCCCCUGAAAUGUAUUAGCGAGUUCCAACUGGGCUCCGUCUAUUGGUGUGAUAAUUAUCUACGCCGUGGAUUGCGCUUAGACUUGCUUCUAACCGUCCGCAAGGACAAUCUUUUGACAAUUUGACCUCAAAUCAGGUAGGACUACCCGCUGAACUUAAGCAUAUGAAUAAGCGGAGGA